GACGAACGCUGGCGGCGUGCUUAACACAUGCAAGUCGAACGAUGAAGCCCAGCUUGCUGGGUGGAUUAGUGGCGAACGGGUGAGUAACACGUGGGCAACCUGCCCCAAACUCUGGGAUAACUCCUCGAAAGAGGUGCUAAUACCGGAUACGAACUAGGUAGACAUCUGCACUAGUUGGAAAGUUUUUCGGUUUGGGAUGGGCCCGCGGCCUAUCAGCUUGUUGGUGAGGUAACGGCUCACCAAGGCUACGACGGUUAACCGGCCUGAGAGGGGUACCGGUCACACUGGGACUGAGACACGGGCCAGACUCCUACGGGAGGCAGCAGUGGGGAAUAUUGCGAAAUGGGCGAAAGCCUGACGCAGCGACGCCGCGUGAGGGAUGAAGGUCUUCGGAUCGUAAACCUCUUUCAGUAGGGACGAAGCGAAAGUGACGGUACCUAAAGAAGAAGCACCGGCUAACUACGUGCCAGCCGCCGCCGUAA
rnacentral:rRNA from 1 species